rnacentral:snRNA from 1 species
GUGCUUGGGCGAGAGUAGU